UUCGGUGGCUAUAGCGGAGAGGACCCACCCGUUCCCAUUCCGAACACGGAAGUUAAGCUCUCCAGCGCCGAUGGUACUGCAUGGGUGACUGUGUGGGAGAGUAGGUGCCGCCGGAA
rfam:Syntrophaceae bacterium CG2_30_58_14 cg2_3.0_scaffold_3524_c, whole genome shotgun sequence.